rnacentral:rRNA from 1 species
GACGAACGCUGGCGGCGUGCCUAAUACAUGCAAGCCGAACGAGAGCGACCGGUGCUUGCACUGGUCAAUCUAGUGGCGAACGGGUGAGUAACACGUGGGUAACCUGCCCAUCAGAGGGGGAUAACAUUCGGAAACGGAUGCUAAAACCGCAUAGGUCCUUUAACCGCAUGGUUGAAGGAGGAAAAGAGGCGCAAGCUUCUGCUGAUGGAUGGACCCGCGGUGCAUUAGCUAGUUGGUGAGGUAACGGCUCACCAAGGCCGUGAUGCAUAGCCGACCUGAGAGGGUGAUCGGCCACAUUGGGACUGAGACACGGCCCAAACUCCUACGGGAGGCAGCAGUAGGGAAUCUUCCGCAAUGGACGCAAGUCUGACGGAGCAACGCCGCGUGAGUGAAGAAGGUUUUCGGACCGUAAAACUCUGUUGUUAGAGAAGAACAAGUGCUAGAGUAACUGUUAGCGCCUUGACGGUAUCUAACCAGAAAGCCACGGCUAACUACGUGCCAGCAGCCGCGGUAAUACGUAGGUGGCAAGCGUUGUCCGGAUUUAUUGGGCGUAAAGCGAGCGCAGGCGGUUCCUUAAGUCUGAUGUGAAAGCCCCCGGCUCAACCGGGGAGGGUCAUUGGAAACUGGGGAACUUGAGUGCAGAAGAGGAGAGUGGAAUUCCAUGUGUAGCGGUGAAAUGCGUAGAUAUAUGGAGGAACACCAGUGGCGAAGGCGACUCUCUGGUCUGUAACUGACGCUGAGGCUCGAAAGCGUGGGUAGCAAACAGG